GAUGAACGCUGGCGGCGUGCCUAAUACAUGCAAGUCGAGCGAACAGAUGAGGAGCUUGCUCCUCUGACGUUAGCGGCGGACGGGUGAGUAACACGUGGAUAACCUACCUAUAAGACUUGGAUAACUUCGGGAAACCGGAGCUAAUACCGGAUAAUAUAUUGAACCGCAUGGUUCAAUAGUGAAAGACGGUUUUGCUGUCACUUAUAGAUGGAUCCACGCCGCAUUAGCUAGUUGGUAAGGUAACGGCUUACCAAGGCGACGAUGCGUAUCCGACCUGAGAGGGUGAGCGGACACACUGGAACUGAGACACGGUCCAGACUCCUACGGGAGGCAGCAGUAGGGAAUCUUCCGCAAUGGGCGAAAGCCUGACGGAGCAACGCCGCGUGAGUGAUGAAGGUCUUCGGAUCGUAAAACUCUAUUAUUAGGGAAGAACAAAUGUGUAAGUAACUAUGCACGUAUUGACGGUACCUAAUCAGAAAGCCACGGCUAACUACGUG
rnacentral:rRNA from 1 species